rnacentral:tRNA from 1 species
UCCCAUGUAGCUCAGUCGGUAAAGCAUCUGCCUGCAAGGCGGGAGACUUGGGUUCAAUUCCCGGGUCGGGAA